rnacentral:misc_RNA from 1 species
UGCGCGAGAUCGUGACCGGUCUUUGCAGCCAUGCGGCGCGGCUUUACCACCUCGGGGCAAGACCGGUUCGGCGGUCGACCUUUUCCGACGCCAACGCCAACCGGCCUUCCGCGGUGUUUACCGACCUUCUGGCCCUGAUGAUGAAGCAGGCCCACCGCGGCUUGCAAACUGGCCGAGACGACCUAUCUGAUCGAUGCCACAAGCGUGCGGUUGAACGAGCGCAGUGCCGGUUGGGCGCAAUUCUCGACCGGGGUCUGCGGCGCCAAGGUGCAUGUGAUCUACGAUGCCGACGCGGAUCGGCCGAUCUAUGCCGCGGUCAGUCCGGCCAACGUCAACGAUAUCACCGCGGCCCAGCAGAUGCCGAUCGAGCCGGGCGCCA